rnacentral:rRNA from 1 species
AUUGAACGCUGGCGGCAUGCUUUACACAUGCAAGUCGAACGGCAGCAUGGGUGCUUGCACCUGAUGGCGAGUGGCGAACGGGUGAGUAAUGUAUCGGAACAUGUCCGGAAGUGGGGGAUAACGUAGCGAAAGUUACGCUAAUACCGCAUAUGCUCUGAGGGGGAAAGGAGGGGAUCGCAAGACCUUUCGCUUUCGGAGUGGCCGAUAUCAGAUUAGCUUGUUGGUGAGGUAAAGGCUCACCAAGGCGACGAUCUGUAGCGGGUCUGAGAGGAUGAUCCGCCACACUGGGACUGAGACACGGCCCAGACUCCUACGGGAGGCAGCAGUGGGAAAUUUUGGACAAUGGGGGCAACCCUGAUCCAGCCAUGCCGCGUGAGUGAAGAAGGCCUUCGGGUUGUAAAGCUCUUUCGGACAGAAAGAAAUCGCACUUACUAAUACUGAGUGUGGAUGACGGUACUGUAAGAAGAAGCACCGGCUAACUACGUGCCAGCCGCCGCCGUAAAAC